CAGGAACUGAGGGCCUGGUGUGACCCCUCCUGAAGGUGUGUGGAGCAGAGGUUUGCUCUGAGCCAGCCUGUGGACCAGCAGGAGCAUGUGUUCAGUACCUUGAGAAGACACUUCUUGAAUCAAGGACAGAGAAAGGAGCACCAGGGAUAUGCAAAGUAUGUUCCAUAUGAUCAUUACUUUCAGUGUAUGGGCUCAUUCUGCUGAAUCAUAGCUGGAAAAAAAUGAAAUUUAACUAUAGGAAGAAAAAAUCAUACAAGAUUUGAUUAAUGUGGAGGAUGGCAGAGAAUAAGAAAAAUAGAGAAAAUGAACAUGAGAAAGCAGGAAAUACAGCUGCACUUCAGCAAGUCACUGAGGCUCUUCAGCAUCAAUGAACGUGGGUGAGGAAGGUGUUUGAGGUUUCCAGACUCCAGGGAGGUGCUGAGUGACGGCCGAUGGUACCGCUGGGUUUUGUCCCCAGUCAGAAUCUCCGCUGAAGCAAAGGCCGAAGGCCAGAAGGCUGGAGGAGCCAGAAACAAAGCACAGCCCUGCCCAGCAGCCCUCGCCCAUCCACACAUCUGUACAUCCCAGGAUCCCAGCAGGGAUAACUGGAAAUGUACCAGGUGGCUUCUUUUCAUCCCCCUCGCCCGGCGUGUCCUGUUCCGCCCGUGUGCGCCUGCGGAGCAGGCCCUGGAGUGCAGCCCCACCACCUAAUCCGGGGGUUUCAGAGCUUGGGCUGUGCCAAGUUUGUAUUGGCAGCAGCCUUGGAUUGGAGCUGCCAGAACUAGAAAUGCCUCUGAAGUCAAAGGGUAGCAGAGCUCCCCCUCAGACCCCGGGAGCAGAGUCCUGCCUGGAAUUGCCACGCCAGUGGGAGCGCUGACGGCAGCGUUACUCACCAUCCGGCUCUGCUCCUGCUGUCUGGGUCUUGCUUGGCAAGUGGCCUUUCCUCAGUCAAGCACUGCUGCUCUGGUCUGUCCUGAGCAUCCUUCUCACCUGGUAACUUGUUUUCCCUUUAACCCACAGGGCUGUGCAUCCAGCAUGGACUCAUUACUGUGCCCACUCUGUAGCUUUUUAACUCAACUGGUGUGAAGGAAAACCAAACCUCAGUGGAUUUCCUCUCUCAAGGGAUGGGCAAGCUGGAUCCCUACAGGUGUGUUGGGAUAUUCCUUGCUGGCCUCUGGU